rnacentral:snoRNA from 12 species
UUCCACAGCUACUGGUCUGCAGCUGUUCUUACAGUAGCACUUGUGGCAUUCCUCUGUGGGAAAGAAACUGUUAACGGUUAAAUACCUCUUUCUUAGUAAAAUAGAAAGUAGUCAUGUGUGUUUCAGACAAAA